rnacentral:misc_RNA from 1 species
GUCUAAUUAAGAAAUCCUGCGCCGAAGAUGUACCGGGGCUCAAGCCAUGCACCGAAGCUGCGGACUCGAAAGAGUGGUAGCGGAGCGUUCCGUAAGCCUGCGAAGGGAGACCCGUGAGGGCUCCUGGAGGUAUCGGAAGUGAGAAUGCUGACAUAAGUAGCGACAAAAAGCGUGAGAGACGCUUUCGCCGUAAGUCCAAGGGUUCCUGCGCAAGGUCAAUCCGCGCAGGGUUAGC